rnacentral:lncRNA from 1 species
CAGAGCUGCUGGAAGGAAUCAGGGGCACUGAAAUGGACUGCCUGGGGGCCUGCCAGGAGCAGAAGCUGCCCUCAGGGAGAGCCUCAGGGAAGCUGCUCAGACAGCUCCCAGCCCUGUGCCUAAAGCCCCACCCCCACCUCCACCCCCAGGGCUCUAGUAGCCAGGGGCCCACUCAGACCUGCACUCUCACAGAAGUCAUAGGCAUCCAUCUACCUGUAGCUUGGGAAAGGCCUCCUCAGGUGAUCACUAAGCAGAGGAAGGGCCACUGCCAAUCCCUCCCUGCCUUUAGGAUCAAUUCAUGCCCUAUCUGAAACCCUAGGGGGGUUCUCCUUCCCCUCACAAAGCCCAAGGGGCCAGAUCCUGCCUAUCCCCACAGUGUGCACUAAGGGGCUACUUGGUCAGGAGGGAGUCUGUGUGGCCUGUCAGCUCCUCUUCCUUCCCACUCAACCAGCUUGGCUGUCCUGGGCCAUGAUGGUCAGAGAGAUACAAACAGGUAGAACCCACACCAGCAUUUCUUUUGAGUCCCUCCUCUGUCUGGGGCGCCCAUCCUUUCAGUUGCCAAAACACCCCAGUACCUUCCAAAGGUGUUGCCUCUCACAGGGUCAUUGCAUUUGGAUCUGGGUCCUUCAAGCAUCUUGAUAGACGCAAAUGAGGAGACGACCUAGAUGGCCGCUGUGUAAUCCCUACUCCAGAUGCUCUUAGUGGGAACAGCCUAGGCCUUGGCUAGAAGAGCGAGCGCCCGUAAACUGUUGCUUUGCUUCCUGCUAUGCUUCUGUGGUUGAGGGUCUUGAGGGUGCUGAUGGUCAUUUUAAUUUAUUGCUUUGAAUACAACUGUAAGAGG